AUUAAACGCUGGCGGCAUGCCUUACACAUGCAAGUCGAACGGUAGCGCGGGGUAACCUGGCGACGAGUGGCGAACGGGUGAGUAAAGCAUCGGAACGUGCCCUGGAAUGGGGGAUAACGUAGCGAAAGUUACGCUAAUACCGCAUAUACUGUGAGCAGGAAAGCAGGGGAUCGAAAGACCUUGCGUUCGAGGAGCGGCCGAUGUCGGAUUAGCUAGUUGGUGGGGUAAAGGCCUACCAAGGCGACGAUCCGUAGCGGGUCUGAGAGGAUGAUCCGCCACACUGGGACUGAGACACGGCCCAGACUCCUACGGGAGGCAGCAGUGGGGAAUUUUGGACAAUGGGCGAAAGCCUGAUCCAGCCAUGCCGCGUGAGUGAAGAAGGCCUUCGGGUUGUAAAGCUCUUUCGGUGGGGAAGAAAUUGCACGGGAGAACGCCCUGUGUAGAUGACGGUACCCGGAGAAGAAGCACCGGCUAACUACGUGC
rnacentral:rRNA from 1 species